rnacentral:misc_RNA from 1 species
GAUGAAGAACGUAGUGAAAUGCGAUACGUAGUGUGAAUUGCAGAAAUACGUGAACCAUCGAAUCUUUGAACGCAUAUUGCGCCCGCGUCUUCGGACAAGGGCAUGUCUGCCUCAGCGUCGGGUUAAUACUCGCAAACAAACCCCUGUGGUUUGUCUAUUGCGGAUCUGGCCGUCCCGAUCGAUUCAAUUCGGUCGGGUCGGCUGAAGAGUAGAGGUUGACGCAUGGACCCGAUUAUGGGCCGCAACUGGGUAGGCAAUUCGUUGCUGAUGCUUUAGUUGUUGGCUUGUGGACUGUGCAAUGUCGGCCCAAACCAGGAACCGAGCCUUUGUGCUUGGCAUUAACCCUAUUUUCUCGACCUGAGCUCAGGCAAGAACACCCGCUGAACUUAAGCAUAUCAAUAAGCGGAGGA